UACGUAGGGCGCAAGCGUUGUCCGGAAUUAUUGGGCGUAAAGAGCUCGUAGGCGGCUUGUCACGUCGGAUGUGAAAGCCCGGGGCUUAACCCCGGGUCUGCAUUCGAUACGGGCAGGCUAGAGUGUGGUAGGGGAGAUCGGAAUUCCUGGUGUAGCGGUGAAAUGCGCAGAUAUCAGGAGGAACACCGGUGGCGAAGGCGGAUCUCUGGGCCAUUACUGACGCUGAGGCGCGAAAGCGUGGGUAGCAAACAGG
rnacentral:rRNA from 1 species